AGUGAACGUUGGCGGCGUGGAUUAGGCAUGCAAGUCGAGCGAGAACCGUAGCAAUACGGGGACAGCGGCGAAAGGGACAGUAAUGUGUAGGUACCUACCCCGAGGUCUGGGAUAGCUGCGGGAAACUGCAGGUAAUACCGGAUAAUGUCUUCGGACCAAAGGUGUGAUUCCACCUUGGGAGGGGCCUGCAUCCUAUUAGCUUGUUGGCGGGGUAAUGGCCCACCAAGGCGACGAUGGGUAGCGGGUGUGAGAGCACGACCCGCGUCAUUGGGACUGAGAUACUGCCCAGACACCUACGGGUGGCUGCAGUCGAGGAUCUUCGGCAAUGGGCGAAAGCCUGACCGAGCGACGCCGCGUGCGGGAUGAAGGCCUUCGGGUUGUAAACCGCUGUCGUAGAGGAGGAAAUGCAGGGGGGUUCUCCCUCCUGUUUGACCUAUUCUAGGAGGAAGGACGGGCUAAGUUCGUGCCAGCCGCCGCGGUAA
rnacentral:rRNA from 1 species